UACAUGUAGGCCUAGAUGGAUGUUGUUUUACAUUUUGGAGGGGAAGCGGUUAAAGACAUCGAUACAAAGCUUCAAAUUCUCAAGUUUAGCUAUAAAUGGGUCGAUGAGGUGGAGGGAUAUGAGAGAAGAAUGAAGGAAGCUGGACUGAAGGAAGAGGCAGCGGAAGUAUUAGUUGCACCAAAGGAGAACAUGCAAAUAAAAAUAACAACAAAGGAAAACCUACUCUUGUAAUUUUAACUCAGGCAUCAAAAGGAAUCAAGCUGAUGAAAGUGGCUGAUAUCAGGAAUCAAUAUCACUCGUCCGAGCGACAGUAAGUUGGAUAAAUUAAGACUGGGACAUUUGAGGAAAAAAAAAUGACAAAACUUGAAUUGAGAGGAAGAGUGAUAAAUGGGUGAAUCCUGACGUACUGUAGUUAUACCAAGAAAUUUUGCAAAAGGCUUUGAAGAAAACUAACUUUAAAAAUUUCUUCUUCAUCAACCAUUCAUUUGUCUGCACUAUUUUUCAGACAACUUGAUCCGUCAAAAGUCUGAAAUUUUCUCAAAUUUGUAUUUUUCAGAAUGUUAAAUGAGUUUGAAGUUCAAACAUAUAUCGGAAAGGAAAACUGUCUUUUGACUACGUACAAUGUAAAAACUGUAUUUUUAAAAUGGUAGUCGAAUGAUUUU